CUAUCCCCAGCAGCUGCAGUAGCAGCACCAGGCUGAGAUGGCCAAGAUACCUCUUCAUUCCAGCUCUGGGCUCCUUGGACUCCGCUUCUCCCAUGUCCUCUUUGCCGUCUGGUGUGCCUUUGUGGGCAGUGGCUCUGCUGUGGAAGUGAUCCAGACUCCAAGCUUUGCCCAUAACUCAUCAGGGCAAAGUAUUACCAUGAGCUGCUCUGUGAAUGAAGCAGGCUACAAAUUUUUUUGGUAUCAACAAUUGCCUGGGAAGACAGAACUGACAGCCCUCGGGUACCUCUCCAGUUUUGACAAAGACCUUCAAGAGAGACAUAAGGAUUGGCAGAAUCGUCUAGAAGCAAAGUGGGAAGGCUCAAAAAACCAGGAGAUGCGUUUGGAUCUGUUAAAUCUUCAGGCGAGUGACACAGGCUUCUACCUCUGUGCUGCCGUGUACACGGUGAAUGAGGUAGGAACUGAGACUGGUACAAAACUGAGUAUCAGAAUAAGCUCCCCCGUCCCCAGCUUUUCUUAAUUUCUUCUGAUAUCAUCUCCAUGCAGAUUCAGACUCUGGAAACCUCAACUCCACCCAUCGUCUCCAAUCAUAGUCUCUCCGGAUGAACAAGACUAUAACUUCCAAGCUGGUUAGGGACAAUGGGAGUUGUGCUCCAAAGCAUCCAGUAGACAUCUGGUUGAGGAGGAUCCACACACUGAGGACACCCAAGCAGCCUAACACAAAUUCAUUUGCAUUGUGCUAACAUUAGCUCAAAACCAUUCUAUAAAAAUUCCAUGGUAUGAAAUAUAACAUCAGUUCCCACCUUAUUCCAAGCAAUAAUGUAUGUGUGGGGGUGUUUCCUGACAGUGUAUGGUGAAUUCAGUCCCUAUGGUUCUUAUAGGUUAGCAUAUUAAUGGUGGUUUUUCAAUAUAUCAUGAUUAAAUACACAAAACGUAUAUUAUAUGUACAGCUGGUCACCAAACACCUAUUUUGUUCUUGAAUAUGAUGAUGGGCAAAGAAUAGAAUAUAAUAGAAUAGAAUAGAAUAGAAU